AUAGGCAUUAAACGCCUAUUAAUCUGCAUGUUAAUAGUCUGCUCUUUGGCCGGACAGACGGUUAGUGAGUG
ncrna:unclassified sequences L13-Bacteroidia ribosomal protein leader